rnacentral:rRNA from 1 species
AUUCCAGCUCCAUUAGCGUAUAUUAACGUUGUUGCAGUUAAAAAGCUCGUAGUUGGAUUUGUGGUGCCACGUGCGGUUCCGGAAUAUUUUUCGGUGCUGCGUGGUGGUGCCAUCCUUGGGUGGAAUCUGUGUGGCAUUAGGUUGUCGCGCAGGGGAUGCCCAUCGUUUACUGUGAAAAAAUUAGAGUGUUCAAAGCAGGCUUAUGCCGUUGAAUAUAUUAGCAUGGAAUAAUAAGAUAGGACCUUGGUACUAUUUUGUUGGUUUGCGCACCGAGGUAAUGAUUAAUAGGGACAGUUGGGGGUAUUCGUAUUCCAUUGUCAGAGGUGAAAUUCUUGGAUUUCUGGAAGACGAACUACUGCGAAAGCAUUUACCAAGGAUGUUUUC